UUUUGAUCUUGAUAAAAAGGCAUUUGUUUGGGGCUUUCAUUUACAAAAGCAGUUAGGUCAAUGGGGUGGCUUUGCGUUCGAUCCGCAGACCAAAAAC
rnacentral:tRNA from 1 species